rnacentral:rRNA from 1 species
CAAUCUCUGAGUAAAGUGGCGCACGGGUGAGUAACACGUGGAUAAUCUACCUCUUGGUGGGGAAUAACUCUGGGAAACCGGAGCUAAUACCGCAUAAGUCCGAAAGGGGAAAGGCGAAAGUCGCCGGGAGAGGAGUCCGCGGCCGAUUAGCUAGUCGGUGGGGUAAAGGCCUACCAAGGCGAAGAUCGGUAGCCGGCCUGAGAGGGCACACGGCCACACUGGCACUGAAACACGGGCCAG